CUGAUUUGACACCGAUAUUUUACUAUGGGACCAAUAUAACUGAUAUUAACUACAUAGCUCGCGUAUGCGAAGCUCUUGGGAUUUUUAGUUUAAUCAAUGUUUUUUUUCGUAUAUUGCGAUUUGGUAGGCAUCGGGUGUGCUUUUGUGAUCAUCUUUGAAUGCUUGGUUAAUGAGUCAAGUCAUCACUUUUAAUGAAUUUGAUUGGUUUGUUGUACUAUCUUAGGAUAAUGACAUGGUCAAAUUAUUAUAACUGUAACCAUUAUUUUGUUUUGGUAUCUUGCCUGGGCCACUUGUGCUCCAUCUUAAUUAGUGAGAUUACUAACUCUACAUUUAUGACUCCUUUACCAGGUGAUGCGCGUGUGCCCGAUAACUACGCAGAUGAGCAUUCUCAAGAGCAAGUACAAGUCCUUAUUAAUACACAAGAAAAUGAACCCCAUUAUUCUAUUUUCCCUAUUUAAAUUUGAUUGCACCUGAGAAAAGGUCUUUCAUUCAUAAGCUAUCCUUUAAUAUGCUACAAAAGAACAGAUGAAAUAGCUAAACAACUCCAGUGCGGAUCCAAACAGAACGCUAACAUGACAAGGUGAAGCCUACCCACGUGUUCAAUGCUGCCAGAGUCACCGGUCGUCUGAACGUUGACUGAUGUGUGCCGCACAAGGUGGGUCUCUCUCUGUGUGUGAAGGGAUGCUGAAUUUAUAAGACUAUCAAAAACGCAAACAUGGAUGGUAACAGUGAAUACAUCAUCCUGGAGUAGAAACCAAUCCUUAAAGGGGGUAAUAGUUACUCAAUUUGUUUGUUUUUUUAAACUGAUUGAGUGGUUCAUUAGUGCUUAAAAUUAACAUACA